rnacentral:rRNA from 1 species
UACGAAGGGGGCUAGCGUUGUUCGGAUUUACUGGGCGUAAAGCGCACGUAGGCGGUUUGUUAAGUCAGGGGUGAAAUCCCACAGCUCAACUGUGGAACUGCCUUUGAUACUGGCAAGCUAGAGUCCGGAAGAGGUAAGUGGAACUCCUAGUGUAGAGGUGGAAUUCGUAGAUAUUAGGAAGAACACCAGUGGCGAAGGCGGCUUACUGGUCCGGAACUGACGCUGAGGUGCGAAAGCGUGGGAGCAAACAGG